GGAACAUGAAAGACACUUGACCCUCUUCAGUUUGUAGAGUAAAUAACUCUUCUUGGCUCCAGUUAUUGUUGACACCAGAGUAAAUCUGUCAACAGCAAAACCGUCUCCAGGAGUCACGGUAGGGCUGGAGUUUCAAAUGAUGGUGACACCUGCAAAAGGUCCCUGUUGCCUUCAAGAUUCUUUACCGUAUGCAGAGCAGCUCUGAAGAUCAUGUUCUUAGUGAUGCAUGGAAGUAAAUCCAGAAACACACAGGCAAGUAGGUGGUACAUUUAAUAUUUCCUUCACGCACGAUGGAAAUGUUGAGUUUCCUUUUAGUUCUUUGUGCUUAUUUGGGCACAUAAUGAAGAGACUUUUCAUACAUUGUUAGGAACUUGAGGGCACUGUCUUGCUCCCACUCAUGUCAAUGAACACUUUGCCUCUCGUGUCACUAGAACAUGGGUUUGUGCUUCACUUUGAGUCACCUGCAAUCCCUGAAGUAGAAAAUGGAGAUCUGCAAUGUGUUUCUUGAUCAGUUUGAGGAUCGCAGCUGAGACUUCAUAUUGCUCAUCACAGAGACCUAAACCAAAUGUGAAAUCCACGCUGAUCACAUCCUCAUGUCGUGUCGGAGUCUUUUGCAUCCUGUCUAUAUUGAAGACAUCAGAUUUCUUUUUGAUGGUGACAUUUGGACCUGGGCAGCUCACAGCUCUUCUCUUUUCACAGGAUUCUUUUCUUUCCUGUAGGACUGUGUCUCUGAAAAACACUUAGCAUUUCUGACCUCAUGCUGAUACUGUAUUAUGACAGGAUGUUCUUUGUGCACAAUCCCAUCAACUGCAGCAAUUUCAUAUCUCUAGUCUCAAUAAGUUUUUAUGCUCAGCACUGGCUCGAUAUUUUCUUUGGUCAUCCAUGUAGAAUUACUUUCCCCAAAACUGUUGUCAACUUGGGUCGUUUUGUGUUACUUGUUUGAACUUGUCAAAUUUCAUUUCAGACAUGGGUAGGACUUGCCUCAUAUUUACUUCAAACUCCUCUUCCUGCAGUUCAUUGCUUUCAUUAUUUAUAGGUGUUCUUGAAAGCAUAUCUGCUAAGCUCCUUACUGGGCCUGUAUUUCACAUUUAAUGAGUACUUUUGCAAUUUCAUUACAUUUUUUCUCAAGUCCAGGUGGCUCAUUGUACAAUGGAUUUUGCUCUGUGGCUCCUAGUGCUUUAUGGUCUCUUCCUACCUUGAUUGAAUUCUUGCCAUAAACAUAUUCAUGAAAACACUCAUGAUGUAAAACAAUUGCUGGUGUUCCAUUUUCAGGGCAAGCUGAGGCUUUCGGGGUGUUUUAGCCAAUGGCUCACGUAGCAUCUUGCAAGAUAUUUGUGACCAAAGUGACCUUGCAUCAGCUUGGGUUUUAAGCUCCCCAUUAACCUCAGAAUGUUCCAGACUUGAUGUUUCUGUGACAGUUUCUCUUUACACCAAACCUUAUUGUAUUGUCAGUUAUUUUGGGGCUGGUUUGGACAAUCUAGAAGGAACAUUCCACCUCUCCACUGAGAGAAAAACAAUUAGUUUACCUGGAUGUCUUCAGGGAGAGAUCAUGAUGGUCAGCAUUUGCACCAAACCUUGCAGGAGGUGUUUUGGCCAGUGAGUAACCUCUGUCAUUGCUUCAACACCUAUAUUAAUAGCAAGAAAACAAAACUGAUGUUCUUCUGAAUUCCCAAAAAGCCUCCUGGUCAGAGGUUUUCAAAGGUGGUCAGAGGUUUUCAAAGGUGCUCUGAGCUUUUGCUGGAGCUCUCAGACUCCUUUGCUAUUGCGUUUUUGUACCUGCCUUAAUUCACCUGCCCUCCUCUGGCUGAGUGCAAACACACUACGAGAGAACACGAGCAUUGUUGUGUUCUCCAUGGUCAUCCCAAACAUCGGAUCAUCUGGUGUUUCAGUCUCAUCUGACUCCUCUAAGAUCUGGGCAUAAUAUGUUAGUGCUGAGACUACCCUAAGGAGAUGUUUGCUCUCGUCUCCUGAAAGAAUCACCUGAAGGUGCACAUCCUUUCCAUCAACCUUACCCAGCUUCCUAAUGCCAAAAUCCUCUUGAAUUUGGAAGUCUAGACUUGCGCUCUUCAAAUGUGCUUUCAGGCUUCUUUUAGAUGUUGCACUGAGAUGUUUUGUUUGUUUGUUUAUUCAAAUCCUUAUUUUGCUUGUUCUAAUUAAAAUGACUUUUGUUGACCAAGUUUUGUCACCCACUCGGGUUCAUCUGUUGUUUUGUCUCAGUGUGACUUCAAUGAUACAUAAUUUUCAUGGGACUAUAGCAGUAGUUUUCAAUAUUAUGAUCGGCAACGUUAUGAUCGGACCCAUAACUUGGGUCCCUCCCUUUGUCACCAAAUGCAUUGAGUAAAGAGAUUUCUGAGAGUCUUCCUUGCUUGGUCCACCACGUUGGUCUCUGUAUGUCCAUCAACAUGUUUCUGUGCAAAUUAAUCAGAAUCUGUAGCACUUCUGUUGGUCUGUGGAGCGAUGUGUUUUGUGCGAAAGCAGAAAUGCAAGAUCCAGAAGGAUUCAGAAGUACUGGUUUCAUGCUUGAUUUAAUUUCAAGAUGAGAUGUUCCAGAUGAAGGGCCUCUCGGAGGUUGGUUGUUUUCCCCAGAGUUGUAGUGGUGACCUGCAGGAGCUCUCAAAAUCUACCUCUAAGCUUUAUGGUUGCACCCAAGGGUGGGACAGGAGAAGGGAAGGGACAGGAGAUCUACCAGUUGACCUUGGCCAGAACCUCUGAUCUCCAAAGCUGCUCAUGCAGCCGGUUUUUCACACCAAAUGGAUUUUCCCCUGUGACCACAUACUCAAAAAAGACCUUUCUAGGCCCUCAAAAUCUGUGGCAUCCUCUCCUGAGGAGAAAAGUAGAACCACCAAAACAAAGGUAAAACAUUUCAGUGGAAGAUUUCUCCAGCAGGCAACCUCCUCCCUCAAAGGCAUCAAAUAACAGAGGGAGCAAACAGUAAGAAAAAAAGACAAGUCCACAAUGAGCUUUUAAAAUGGCUGGGAAAUUCUUGCUUUUUGGGAGUGACCAGUUCAUUGCUUUGCUAAGUAUCUUUCUAAGCCACCUCUUGUCAGAAGAAGAGAAUAAAUGAAAAGAGAGAAAGAGAGAGAGAAGAGAGAGAGAGAGAAAAAGACCUUUGCAUAGCUUGAGCCUUUGUGCCGUGCAUUCAGACUGAUUUGUACCCUUUGUAGUCUUAAUUAUUUGUGAGAGCAGGAUAACAGGAGUACCAAGCUCACCCAUUAUUUCCUGCAUAAAAAAAGGCACACAGAAGCCGCUGAUCGGUUUUGAAUUAGCAAACAUGAUACUAAAAAAAAAAAAAAUAGGAGGGGGGAGAAGAGAGAGAGAGAGAGCAUAAAAAAAUUCAUUAAUAUCAUCAGGGAUUAGGAGGCUGAUUAAAGUGUAGCUGUUAGCGUAUGCAAAUGAGCGAUAGGCAUUUAUCAGAGCCUGUGCAAGCUGUCUCAGAGCUGUAAAGCCCACGUAUGUUUUUCAGCUGAUUAAAACAGUUUUAAGUUCUGGAGGAGGAUUUUUUUUUCCUUUUUUUUUUUUUUUUUUGGAGAGAAUAAAAAAAAAAUGUAAAAAGCCACCAUCAUCUAUCCUUUUCCUUUUGGCUAAAUUCCUCUAAGUGCACUCCAGCCAUUUCCACUUGAAUGCACCCACUCUCUUUCUCUUUCGGGUAAUGAGAAUUUGGGAUGGAAAUGAAUACAAACUAACUGUAACCUCAUCUAGGUGUUGGAACCUCAUCUGGGUGUUCCUGCUCCAUGGGGGGAUUGCACUGGAUGAGCUUUCCAGGCCACUUCCAACCCCUGACAUUCUGGGAUGCUGUGAUUCUGUAAACUUGCAACAGCGUCCCAGGGAACCUCCAGGAUGAGCCCAUUGGAUGCUGCAUCCCCAGAGCUGGCGACUCUUCUUCAUCGUGCUUGGGGGUCACGCUUUGGGCUCUGUCUUGGCUCUGUUGAUACAGGAGGCUCCAUCCGUGAUGUGAUGGCCCUAUCCGAGCUUUGAAGGUCCCUUCCAACCCAAACUAUUUGAUGAUUCUGUGAUCCGAACCACUUGCAAGCCCGGCUCCUUCUUACAAAGCACGGCUUAGCUUGCAAGAAUGACAUAGAAAACACAGCAGAGGAGCGAUGUAAUAGAAGCUGGAGCUGGUUCGUGCAGACAUAAUCAGAUUUAUUUUAUUCUGCAUCCCAUGCCCUGCUUUAUUUGGUUGUCUUGGCCAAGAUUUGCUGGAGAGACUGUUUGGGCUUGGCUUUGUUCUGGGGUCCCCAAGUGAAAUCCCCCAAAGGGAUUUUUUUUUUUUUUCAGAGAACAGCGGCUAAAUUUAGGUUCCGGACACCUCAAAAGGAUCAUAAAACACUGACACCUCAAUCUGUGCUCUUUUCUGCAAGCCUAGUUCAGUUAAUCUACACUUGCGGCACCUCCAAGGAGGAGCCAGUAGCAACACACAUUUUCCUCUGUUGUUGCUAAUAUUAGGACUUUGUGCAUCAAUGCAGCAUUCAGGUUUGGUUUCCCUGGGGUUUGGUCUCUUGUCCAUGAUGUAUUCUUGGUUCUGUUAUUUAUCAGAAAUCAUUUCUCAAGGUUCUGUGUAGUUCGGGGGUCUUGUGGUUUGUUUAGGGAAGGAAUUCCACAGCCUGGAGAGGCAGCAGAAGCGACUUGGCCAGACGGCUUUUUGACUGCAGGAAAUCCUGGAAGCGUCCUAGAUCUGCAAAAGUCAUGGGGGAAAUGGCCAAAGAUUGUUUCCUGUGCUUUAUCACAUGAAUCCAAAAUUUGCUACGUGGAUCUUCAACUUAGCGCAUACGUGGAGUGCACGUCAUGCUAAAUCAUCACUUGGAAGAGCAGCCUGAGCUACCGGGCUGCCAGCUUCCCCAUUAUAAACCAACAAUGGUAUUUAAGGUGGUUAUAACUUCGCUGUAAAAUUUUGCUCUGUUGAAACUUGGCAAACACGGCCCUUGCCCGACGGCAAUUUUUUUUGUUGUUGCAUAUUUGGAAGUAAAUCAGCUUGGCCGUUUAUGUUUUAAAAGAUUAUUUCUUUUGAGUCCCGAGUCUCUCAUUUCUCAGGCUGGCAAAAGCCUCCGGCGCCGCGGGGAGGAUGCGCCCAGGGACGGAUUUGUGCCUCUCAUCCAACAGCGACCCCUUCCAACCAUCGGGGAAGCACUUUGGCAGGUCCUGGACUGUGUCCCAUCCCACACCCCCCCGCAGAAGCCUGGUUAUUCAUUGCUGUUUCAUGCCAUUCAUUACCAGCCCAGCCACGACCAGGAGGAAAUAUCGUGUCUUGGGUGGAAAACAGCGAAACAGAACGGAGCCGGUUUUGGAAAUAGCUUGAGAGUGAUUCGGUAAACCACAGUGAUAACACAGUUGGGUUCAGUGCAGCAUUUAUAACAGAAACUCAGUGGCUGAGCUGCUGGAACAUGAGGUUGUCUGUGGUGGGACGGACACAAUCUCAUCUCCAAACUACUCACAGGAUGCUGCUGAGAAUGGCUACCCAACAAGGCUCAGCUUGGUGCCAACAGUGUCCAAGAGCAGGACUAAGCAACAGCCUUGACAUAACAUCAGGCAAGCACCUAGGAAAACAAUGCAGCUCCAAGCAGAAGGCUUUAAGUACAUCACAAAAGGGUGGCCAAGAUACGCUCUGGUGAUGGAUUGGUGAGUAAAAAUCCACUGUUUAGAAGUGGACUUCAGAAUUAGAAGUGAUUGACAGUAGAGAGGAAGAUGCUGGAGCAGGACCGUUCAUCAGGAUUCAUUGCGCUCUCUGAACUGCCUGAAAGGAGCUUGGAGCCAGGGUGGGUCGGGCUCUGCUCCCCAGGAACAAGCGCCAGGAGCAGAGGAAACGGCCUCAAGUUGCACCAGGGGAGGUUGAGGUUGGAUAUGGGGAACAAUUUCUUCCCCAAAGGGCUGUGGGGCAUUGGAACAGGCUGCCCAGGGCAGUGCUGGAGUCACCAUCCCUGGAGGGUUGGACAGACGGACAUGAGGUUCUCAGGAACAUGGGGAGGGGGAGCAGUUGGACUCGAUCUUGAGUGUCUCUUCCAACCAAAAUGGUUCUAUGAUUUUACUUGACUUUUGCAGGCAUCCCAUAGUUAAGUGGGACAACCAGCUCUGGACAUCACUGACCUUGAGAAGACCCAAGAGAACCCGGGAACUGGACAUGACCCUGGUGAGCAACGCUGGGAUCAGCAAGUACAAGACCAGGUUAGAAGAACCAGAUAGAGAAGGUGAAGAGGACAUCUCCAGAUUAAAUGAUUUUGGCGUGAGCCAUGUUGUAUGCCUCCCGUCUCCUUUGCACGUGCCUUGUUGGGUAGCUCCUCACUAGAGGCGCUUGUGUCUCUCCAUCGACGUUGGAAGAAAGAAGAACCUAGAGCAGCCCGAGAUGUCCUUGUUCUGAGUUGGAGCAUCUCGUCCGCCUCAUGGCCCUGCUACCUUUGCGUGGAACGCUUCUGGUGCUCUAAAGAUACCAAAAGGUUUUAAUUACAAUUAAGCCAAGUCAUUUCUACAGUUUCUAGCUGUAAAUAAACAGCCUGUUUUGGAUAAUGGAGGUAAUGGUUUGCAUUUCAACUCUACUUCUAACCUCUGAUUUUUGCUUGUAAUAUUUUAUGUGGUUAAAUCGAUUUUUUCUGCCAUUGAAUGUAGCAUUUUUUUUAAAACUCUGUUGUAAAGCGUGUGUUUCAUCGUAUCCUUGUUACCCUAGGACAUGCUUGCUGUAGUUAAACUAGACUGUAGUCAUGCUCUCUUUCAGAAGGGUCUGCAAUUGAGAGUAGGAAUUGCUAUUGUUUUCUCCUAUUGCUGCUAAAGAAAGCAAACACAUCAGCGUUUUGUUUAAAAAUAAGAGACAUGAAAAGAUAGUUAUGUGAAUAUCAUCAGCUGAGACAGCACAAUAACCUGUGAUUGCACAAAAAAUGGGGUGGGCAGGGAGGUCCCUGGGCUGCCUGCGACCAUCAGCAGGAAGGUGACAGAGAUGUCCCCAUGCGCAGGUAUGUGCUGAUUGUCUUAAGAAGGCUCAGCCUUUCAGCUAAAAGCAAAAUUUCCUCCUCCUACAGAUGCUCUGUUUUAUUAAAACCAGCGCGAAGUUCAGUGCAAAGGGUCUCUUUGAGAAUACAAGGAGCAGCUUUGGAAUGCGGAUGUGUUUUCUGAAGAUACAGGGUGGUUUCCCAUGGUCAUCCUGGGCUCAGGACACGUCUGUUUUGGGGUCACAGCUCUUCUGUGUGGCCUUUGGCACCUCACUGCGUUAGCGGUUAAACACAGUCUUUAUUUUCAGGGUUGCUCUAAAUGUGCUUUACUAGGGCAAAGUGACUUUUGUGUGUAGGGAACUAAUUGUGAUUAUUUCAGUGUAUGGGAAAUAUGAUACGUAUCAUCAGUACAAACUGACUUAAGCCAGCCAAGGAGUUAUCAUUAUAGGGUAUUUUCAUUUAGGUCACUUAAAGCCUUGAUUAAUUAAAUACUGUUAUGUGAUUUCUUUCUAAACUUUAAUCCACCAUCCAGAUUUCUGAUUAAAACAUACACAGUUUCAAUCAGCUCCUCACAGUGACCACACUGCGAUUUUAAAAACAGAGUCCUCAGAUGUUGUUGCUGUUGCCUUGAAUUGCUCUUCAUUGUAUGUUGCUGAGAUUGCCCUUUUAAUUCUGCCUGAAAUAUUCCCCCAGCACCAAAUUUAAGACACCAGGUUUUUGUGCUUUUCUCUGUUAUUUUGUACAUGUACAGGGCUGGGAAGAGGGGCGGGAAGGGGAUGCUGUUCAUCCAGCUUGAGGGUUGAAUUUCAGCCCUUGGUGGCAUUAUACUAAUUUGAAUGUUUCUGUGUCGCUGGCAGAUGGCAUCUUCUCUUGUCAUUUCAUCAGAGUUGCGUCUCUGCAGAACAUUUAGUUCCAUAAUGUUUAACCAUAAACUACUUCUGUUAAUCUUUGAUAACCUUUAGUUGCUCCCGAGUCACGUCAUGGCUGGGGUGGUGAGUUAAGGCUGUUUUCCUCCAAAAUUUGGUUUGCUGCCCCAUGAAAUGCAGCUCCUCGGUCUCUGGAUGCUUCCCAAGUGCGAUGCUCCUUGGUGGACUUUUUCCUGUGGAGAUGGGAAAAGGGUUCCCUUCCAUUCUGUGUCCUGCACACCAUGUAUUAUUAUACACAGUGGAAAGCUGCACCAGCAGCGACCAAAACAGAGAAUAACAGCGCAUUUCUGACCACAUUUUUCCAAUUAAAGUGCCAAAUCCAGAGCCUGGUGAGCACUAAAGUAUUGUCUGUGUGUAUAAUUUUAAAGACCUGCUUAAGCCAAUAAUCAAUGAGCGUCUAAUUUGUUACAUUGACAUUUUUGCUGGUUUCAUCAUUAAUUAACAACAAAAUGUUUUCUUGCUGGGUGUAAGAGUGUAUGGGGGGUUCUCAGCAGCCUGAUAAGUUUUGACCUUUGAGAAAACAUUUAUUAAAUGAGGUUAAGUCUUGGAUCUCGUUGAUGGAAGAUCUAGUGUCUACUGUGACAGAUCUGGGUAUAAAUCACCUGGGGCUUCCAGGGGUUCUCUGAGCAUCAUGGUCUUGGCAGGAUGACUGGGAAGUGGCCAAAACUGGGGAGUGGAGGAUGUAAAAAUAGAACAGACUCCACCCUGCAUCUUUUUCUCUGACUCGGAGGCAUCUUCCUGAGUUAAUCUCUCCAGCUGCAGUCAGCCCAGGAGUCCCUGGGCCCUGCUCUCUGUUAAUUGAAGUGCAUUCGGAUCAAGGCUUUUCCUCAGUGUGAAGUGCAGCUUUGCUUUAUGAAGCAGCAGCUCUAAUGCACCUUGUGUUGAUGCCAGCGGGAGAUAGGGACCUCGUGAAAAGAGGAGCACAGAAACAUUCUCAAGGUGCGCCUCGAGGUAUGGCACUUGCUUUAAUUGCUUCUGGAGCUCUUCACCUGGGCCUCAUCAAUAGGGCUAAUUCUUGAAGAAACGAGAACAGAAGUGGACUCAAUUUAUUUCCCACAAGAGAUGGUCGAGUUGUUUUCUCUUUGUUAUGAAGAUUGAUAAGAGCAACUGGAUAAAGCCUGGGUUGCUACUUAACCACCCUUGGAUCAUCUUCCCGCGCUUGGGUUGAGGUUUGGGGCCCAGCUGAGAUGCUGCGGUGCAGAGGAGCAACACCCAGGAGGGAAACAGGGACCUGGGAUGGCUUCUUCUUACCUUGUGGCACCACUUGAAGCUUUAAUCAAUAGGUGCAGUUUGUAUUUAUCAAUCCAAGAUACUUCUUUUUUCUGUGGAAAGCUUGCAAUGUGAAAGGGGACAGGUCCCACCUCCUCCUUGUAGUAUUCUCUAUCCUCUGUACUUUCUAUAAGUCCUAACUGGUAUAGUCUAAGUAAAAAUUAAUCAUGUUAUGCCUGAGAAGAGUUAAAUGUUAUCUUAGUAUUCUUGCCAUGGUUUUUAGUAAAUGAGUGUGAAAAUAGCUGGGGUAGCAAAACCAAUUGAUUGUGUCCUCCACAGGUUAAAGAAGUGACUUGAUGCCUUGCACCCCAGUUCCUGCCCUGACAAUGAGCAGCCGUGAGACAUGAUCCAUUUUCCGUCCUCACGUUUGGACAGUGAACACACACCUGGGCUUGCUACUGUAAAACUGAGUUGAUGAGCUUGGCUUUCAAAUUUUAAAUGACCCUGUUCAAGAUUAUUGAUUGAGGGGAACGCAGCAGCUGCCAUCUGCUGUGGGGCGGGCAGGAGAUUUUACAGAAGAUGACACUGCUGCCCAAGGGAUUGGUUCUUGCUUUAUAUCAGUCAUGUCCUCAGUCUAGAAGCAACAGGGUGUAAAAAAUCUGACCUUGUGCCUUGUCCACUUGAGGAACGUUUUUCUUAAAUGUUUCAUUUUCCCACAAGGCAUUUGAGAGUACGGCACCGCCUGCCUCAUGGACUCAUGGUGGAGCUGUGAGCAAUCUCAUCUCCUCAAGGUUCUCAGACUGUAGAAACAUGGAUCUCCAGUGGGGCACAUUGGAACCUCCAAAGGAUUUUUCAACUGCCCUGUUCCCCGUGGCCUCAGUGAUGGUAACAGGCUCAGCUGUGAGCACAGCCUGAAGUGCAGGGUUCUGCUGGUAGCUCAUCACAUCAUCUGUGGCAAAAUCUCCUCCAGCUGUGACCAUGGAGGACACACAGCUGAGGUUCCUCCUUGACCGCCACAGCCAACAACUCCUCUGGGUGAUAAGCACAUGGGCUGUCCUAUCUCAGCAGCAGUGUCCUCAGGGGCUGUGCCCAUGUGGCAUGGCUUGGUGUCACCAGGAGGGCCAAUGGGCCCCUCCAUGAGCUGUGGUCUCUGCAAUGCUGAUGGAAUCACAAAAUCAUUUUGGUUGGAAAAGCUCCUCAAGCUCAUCGAGUCUAACCAUUCCCCCACCCCUGGCAUUGCCCCAUGUCCUGAGAACCUCAUGUCCGUCUGUCCAGCCCUCCAGGGAUGGUGACUCCAGCACUGCCCUGGGCAGCCUGUUCCAAUGCCCCACAGCACUUUGGGGAAGAAAUUGUUCCCAACAUCCAACCUCAACCUCCCCUGGCGCAACUUGAGGCCUGUCCUUUGGGUUUAGCCGUGUGCCCAUGAAUUAGCACCACCAGGAAAGCUUUUUUUAUGCCUCCUCAUCUGCUGCCAGGCGUUCUGGUGUGACCGCUUUUAAGUGUCUAGCAUUGGUAUAUAGCUAUUUACAAUGCCUGUUUCUGCUCUCCCAACAGUGUAAAUCAAGAUUAAUUCCACUGAAGUUUAUGGAGUUACGCCAGUGUAAAACUGACUGAUAAGAGAUUUGGGGCAUUAUCGCCAGGAACUUGUGCCGGCAUCUUGGUUCCUUGAACACAGAGAUGCUGCUUCUGAUGAACUCCAAGCUGGUGGCAGGAGUUUCAUGGGUGUGCCUGGAAUAAUAGAAGAAUUGCUAGAAAAGUUACAGAGAUCAGGAGUUUGUGUCUUCUUCUGUACCCAGCCUGGUUGGAUAUGUUGGAUGGUGUAACCAAAACAGUCGUACUCUACGUUUUUGUCUCCCUGAGCAUCCCGAUAUGAUUGUGAUGAUGCCCAAUCCAGGCCCAGUUGCAUUGGCAUCUCUUCCUAAAGAACAGAUAUGCUGGAGCUGGCUCCUGGGCUAGAAGAUUUAUUGGUCUCGUCCGAAGAAGAUGACUGUGAAGGCCACUUGUCACUGCAAAAGUCACUCCGUGCUGCAGUUUCCAGAAGCUUCCCAGCUGUUGGCAUCAAUCUAGAACAUCCAUCUAGAACCUUUCUUCUCACAGUCCUUGCAUGAGCAUCUUCUCUGUGGUCCUCUGGACUAAGGACAAGUUAAGUGCCUGUUAAUCUAUAAAUACUCAAUACCUGAAAAUCAGAUUCCAAAGAAACGGGUUCUAAUUAACCUUUUCCUGCCACAUGGUUCUGAGUUUUCUCAUUCCAGCCCCAUUUUCUCUGGGUCUGAUGGCAGCAGCAGCAGCGCGGGAUGUCUACCAGCUCUCUCUCAGCUCAGCAAUCUUUGGAUAUCUCUUUAAUUUUUGGUAAUUACUAUAACACAGGGGAGACUUGGAGAAGGGAGCAGUGUCCACCUUCCCCUCACUGUGCCUGCUUUUUUGGGUUGAGGUUCUCCUGGGCUGGGUUUGCUGGCAGCUGCGCUCCCAGCAGCUUUUGCCUUCAUAACUCUGCCUGCUUUUCUGUGUUUUUCACGUUCUUGAUAAGGUUUUUUCAGAAAUCUGGGCUUCAGCAGUGCUUAAAACGCUGGCUCUGCUCUCUGGGACACAUGGACACCAAGCAGAUCCUGUGAGAUGUUCUCUCUAUCCACCAAAACCCCACAGUGCUAUAGAAGUAUUCAAAGAACAUUGAAUCUUGCUCCUUGGUGCUUGCUUAGGACAGCAAGCUCAGUGAAAUCCUAGGGGCCUGUAUUAUUCAAUAUAUUUAUCAAUUAUUUGGAUGAGGGAAUAGAGGGACUGUCAGCAAGUUUGCUGAUGACACCAAGCUGGGAGGAGCGGCUGACACUGGAAGCUGUGCUGCCAUCCAGAGACCUGGACAGGCUGGAGAGCUGGGCAGGGAGAAAUUUAAUGAAAUAGAACAAGGGCAAGUGCAGAGUCUUGAAUCUGGGCAGGAACAACCAUGAGCCAGCACUGGGCCCUUGUGGCCAGGAAGGCCAAUGGUACCUGGGGUGGGUUAGAAGGGGGUGGUCAGUAGGUCAGAGAGGUUCUCCUGCCCCUCUACUCUGCCCUGGGGAGACCACACCUGGAAUCUUGUGUCCAGUUGUGGCCCCUCAGUUCCAGCAGGACAGGGAACUGCUGGAGAGAGUCCAGCGCAGCCACCAAGAUGCUGAAGGGAGUGGAGCAUCUCCCGGGUGAGGAAAGGCUGAGGGAGCUGGGGCUGAGGAGACUGAGGGGUGACUCAUUCAUGGGGAUCAAUAUGGAAAGGGGGAGUGUCAGGAGGAUGGAGCCAGGCUCUUCUGGGUGACAACCAGUGACAGGACAAGGGGCAGUGGGUGCAAACUGGAACACAGGAGGUUCCACUUAAACUUGAGAAGAAACUUGUUGGGGGUGAGGGUGUCAGAGCCUGGCCCAGGCUGCCCAGGGAGGUUGUGGAGUCUCCUUCUGUGCAGACAUUCCAACCCGCCUGGACACCUUCCUGUGUAACCUCAUCUGGGUGUUCCUGCUCCACGGGGGGAUUGCACUGGAUGAGCUUUCCAGGUCACUUCCAACCCCUCACAUUCUGGGAUUCUGUGUGUCUGAGAACAGAGCUGGAUGAGACCUUGGGAUGAUCUUUGUGGCAGGACCAUCUGGAUCGUGCUGCUCCAGGAUGAAGAUCUGCGCUUUUUGGUCAUCUCUAUUUGCAACAAGCUUCCUUAGCAAGGGACAAAUGAAGCUGAUAUUGCAGUGGACUUGGUAGGAGCUUCUCCUUUCCCCAGCGAUGCAACGUUCGUAAGGACCAAGGAAACGCAUCCUUUUGAGAGACCAAAUGGAAACAUCUGCAGAUGGAGACGUCUCCUCCCUCGCUCUCGUUACCAUCCAUUGUUUCGGUGCAGUCAUGGUGAUGCUUUACUUGAGCUGGCUGUAAACAGCAAUUUUAAGGACAUCCUUGGUGGCACGAUCACAAGGCUUUACCUCCACUGAAAACGCAUCUUUAGAGAGCAGCCACCAGCUGCUGAAGGUGGGUAUGACUUUUCUGUGGCCUGACUCAUCCUCUUUGUCUUCCCAAAAUCCGGGUUCCUUCCCGCUGCCUCAGCCUUUGAGCGGCAACAAUCACAGAAUGGUUUUGAUUGGAAAAGACCCUCAAGAUCAUUGAGUCCAACCAUUCCCCAGCCCUGGCACUGCCCCAUGUCCUGAGAACCUCAUCUCCGUCUGUCCAGCCCUCCAGGGAUGGUGACUCCAGCACUGCCCUGGGCAGCCUGUUCCAAUGCCCCACAGCCCUUUGGGGAAGAAAUUGUUCCCCAGAUCCAACCUCAACCUCCCCUGGCGCAACUUGAGGCCGUUUCCUCUGCUCCUGGCGCUUGUUCCUGGGGAGCAGAGCCCGACCCCCCUGGCUCCAAGCUCCUUUCAGGCAGUUCAGAGAUCAGAAGGUCUCCCCUCAGCUCCUGUUCUCCAGCUGAACCCCCAGGUCCCUCAGCCACUCCCAUCACACUUGGGCUCCAGCCCCUCACCAGGUUGCUUGCCCUCAGCUCAGUCAUCCUGCUCCUCAGCACCAUCAGCUUUUUACCAUCACACCAUGGUGGGGAGGUCACAGUAUCACAGUAUGUUUGGGAUUGGAAGGGACCUCAAAAGAUCAUCUCGUCCAAUCCCCCUGCUGGAGCAGGAACGCCUAGGUGAGGUCGCACAGGAACAUGUCCAGGCGGGUUUUGAAUGUCUCCAGAGCAGGAGACUCCACAACCUCCCUGGGCAGCCUGUUCCAGUGCUCUGUCACCCUUACUGAGAAGAAGUUUUUUUCUCAAAUUUAAGCGGAACCUCUUGUGUUCCAGCUUGAUCCCAUUACCCCUUGUCCUAUCAUUGUUUGCCACCGAGAAGAGCUUGGCUCCAUCCUCAUGGCACUCACCCUUUAUAUAUUUAUAAACAUUAAUGAGGUCCCCCCUUAGUCUCCUCUUCUCUAAACUAAAGAGACCCAGCUCCCUCAGCCUUUCUUCAUAAGGGAGGUGCUCUACUCCCUUAAUCAUCUUCGUUGCCCUAUGCUGUGUUGAACAGAAGGUGACGAGUCGACGUAAGUAUCUUCCCCUUUGCAACAAGGUUGUGGGACUCUGCAGCCAGCAUAGCCCUCAGCUAGCACCCUUGUCCUGCUCCGGUACUGUGUCUUGGCCUAAACUCAAGGCUGUUCUAGACUCAGCAAGAGCUUGAUCAUGACAUUUUGUCUUCUGAGGCUAUGUUUGUGGGGCACCUGCCCAUUGUUGUCAUGAUGGCAGCAGACUCACUGCUUCCUGCCAUGGAAGUAGUGGCUGGUCUUUAAGGCUCUGGUGUGAUAUCUAGAGAAAACAGGCCUGUAAUGGCAGAGUCAAGGGCAGCAGAGCUGAGUCUAACCUCUCCCUGGAGCUGAAGGGGAAAGGGAAACGUGUGCAGCCCCUUUGUGGACCUCUUCACCCAGCCCCACUGAUCACAGCAUCCCAGAAUGUGAGGGGUUGGAAGUAGAGGGGCAGGAGAACCUCUCUGACCUACUGACCACCCCCUUGUAAUCCACCCCAGGUACCAUUGGCCUUCCUGGCCACAAGGGCACAGUGCUGGCUCACUCUGCCCUUGGCCUCUUCUGCUUGGAAAUGCCCAAGGUCAAUGCUAGCCUUUGCCAUGGCAGGGGCCCUCAUCCCACCAUUGGGGACAAUGGUCCCCAGCAAGGCGCCUGGUGGGACACGCUCCAUCACAGCAGAGCAGAGAAACCCGCACUCAAUCUCGCCUGGGAUCUGAUGUGCCUCUCCAGGGUCUCCGCUCCAUACAGAGGUCUUUAAUAACUUCCAAGCCUAAACCUUGCGGAGAAGUACUGUGGAGAGGUCUUCUGGCUGGCAAAAUAAGGUCAGACUACAGCUGUUAUUCUCUUUACCAAGGCUGCCCAAUGUGUUUCUCCUGGUAGAUGCUCUUCAGAGAGAUAAAGUGGUCAAUCUUCAUUAAUUAUUAAUCUUCCUAAAUCAGGGACUUAUUUUCCAUCCUUUUGUCUGGGAAGUCCUCCUGAGGAAGACGUGGUCGAUAGAGAAAGCGAAUAGAGUUGGUCUUAAGAAUAACUGUUCAACUGAGAUAUCAAAGAUUGUGUCUAAUUUGUGUCAAACCUAGGAGAGCUUUUGUCGAGGUGUUAUCACUUGAGGUUGGGCAGGUUGUGAUGGGCACCACGUGCUUUGUUGGCCAGACCAAUAACUCGUUGUCACCAGAGGACAAAAGUGGUGGCCAGGGUAAGCAGAAGCCCGCAGUAGGACUGUUUAAGCUGUUUAAUCGUGGGCUCAUGAGCUGAGCUUGGUGGAAAAUGGUCAACAGAGCUGAAUGUCCCAGUGGGACCGAGGAGCUUGCUCUCAAGCUGGUCCUGGGUGGUGUCUUCAUCAUGACUGCAGUUGGCCAUCGUUGACGAGAUGCCCAUGUCCCUGUCACCACUCCCCAAAGGAAAUGACUCUGUUUUCAUGGGCUGACAUGUGCACUGACCAAUAGGUGGCACCAAUGGAACAGAAAUGCGAAACUCCAU